UACGUAGGGUGCGAGCGUUGUCCGGAAUUAUUGGGCGUAAAGGGCUCGUAGGCGGUUUGUCGCGUCGGGAGUGAAAACCUUGGGCUUAACUCAGGGCUUGCUUUCGAUACGGGCAGACUAGAGGAUGGCAGAGGAAAGUGGAAUUCCCAGCGUAGCGGUGAAAUGCGUAGAUAUUGGGAGGAGCACCAGUGGCGAAAGCGACUUUCUGGGCCAUUCCUGACGCUGAGGUUCGAAAGCUCGGGGAGCAAACAGG
rnacentral:rRNA from 1 species